AGUAGAGAAGGUAGGCAGUGCUUGCAAAGGCCUGAGUCUGAGGUACUUCUUUAUAGCACUGCAAGAAUGGACUAAUACGCUAUGUGAAGACAAAGGGGAUGUCUGCAAGCCAGGACGAGUGCGUCUACCAGAAACUGAGUUCUGCUGGACUUUGAUCUAGGACAUCCAGCCUCCAGAAUGGAAUGUGCCAUAUGUGGAGACCUGCAUGGAAAGGAACUGAGGAUGCUCUCUCACUAAAAGCUAGAAGGAACUGAGGCCCUCAGUCAACAGUCUACAAGACACUGAAUCUUGCCAGCAGCCAAGCAGUGAGCUUGAAAGCAGAUCUAUCAUCAGCUGAACCUUCAGAUGAGACCGCAGCCUAAGCAGAUACCUUGGUUGCAGCCAUGUGAGACAACCUGAAACAGAGGGCACAGCUAAGCCUCAGCCAGGUUCAUGACCCUCUGAGGAAACUGUGAGAAAGCAAAUGUCAUUUUAAGCUAUUUAAUUUUGGAGGUAGUUUAUUACACAACAAUAAAUAACUAUUAUAAUUAUCUUGAGGAUUUAUUUCCUGGGGAGAAUACAUGGAAUUGCAUAUAUAGGUCCUCAUAUGCAGAAUACUGGUACCCUAGAGAUGUUCACCCCAGAGAUGUUUUAGGAACCUGUGAAUAUGUUACAUUAAAUGGCAAAGUUUUCCUGGAUGGUUUAAGUUUAAGAUGGAAAAGUUUUACUGGAUUAUCCAGUGGGUCCAAUCUAGUAACAUGAGUCCUUAAAAAUGGAGAAUAUUUUUUGGCCAUGAUCAGAGAGACAUGUGAUGAUGGAAAAAGUGUCAGAGAUGCAAUGUGAGGGGACUAAAACUGCUGUUGCUGACUUUAAAGAUGGAGAGAGGGGAACCCGAGUCAAGGAAUGCAAAUGGCCUCUGGAAGCUGGAAAAAGCAAGAAAUGGAUUCUCCUUUAGAGCCUGUGGAAUAAAAUGCAGUCAUGCUGACACCUUGAUUUUACCUCAGUGAGACCAAUACUGGAGUAUGACCUUCGGAGCUGAGUGACCCAAGGCAAACUUACAAAAAGAAGCACAUGGCAUGUGGAAAGAAGAGAAGAUUCAAAAUCAGUAGUCAGGAUUUGAGCCUCUUCUCUUCUGCUUUCUAGCUGAAAAAUGUCGAACAAAGAAUUCAACAUUACUUUUCUGAGCCUCUCUUUCCUCUUCUAUGGAAUGGAAGUAAUAAAAUAUCUACCUCCCAGAGUUGUAGUUCAGACCCAACACAUAUAUUUUUAGUGCUCUAUCAUAUGUUAGUUUCUGAACUUUGCUCUUUCUCAGGAAGCAUCCCACUGAAUUAAAAACAUCUGUUGAGUUAAAUACUAUUGUCUCUUCAAUCAAAUGGAGAAAUUGAGGCUAAUGAAGAUAAAGAGCCUUGUUCCAUUUCAUACAUCUAGAAGUAGAAGAGCUGGUAUUAAAAAUCCUACCUGUUGGACUUUAUAUCAGGUGCUCUUUUCCCAAACUACAGCUGCUUUAUAAAGAAGCAAAUGAUAAUUUUUAAAACAACACAAUAGCAAAGCCAUGGAAUCAACUCAGUUUCCCAUCAACUGUGGAUUGGAUAAAGAAAAUGUGGUACAUGUAUAUCAUGGAAUACUAUGCAGACAUAAAGAAGAACAAAAUCGUGGCUUUUGCAGCAACAUGGAUGCAGCUGGAGGCCAUUACUCUGAGUGAACUAACGCAGAAACAGAAAACCAAAUACCCUUUGUUCUCCCUAAUAAGUGGGAGCAAAACGAUGGUACACGUGGACAUACAGAUGGGAACAGCAGACACUGCGGACAAUUAGAGAGGGGAGAGAGGGAGGAGGGCAAGGGUUGAAAAAUGACACAUUUUAUUACCUGGGUGAUGGAUUCAUUUGUACUCCAAACCUCAACAUCACUCAGUAUACCUUUAUAACAAAUCUACACAUGCACCCUCCGAUUCGAAAAUAGAAGUUGAAAAAAACUGUAUUUUCUCUAAAAAAUUUUGCUUAUGUACUAGUUGGUGCCCUUCAAGUGGGAAAAAUCCAUGCCUGCUGAACUGUCACCUCUUUUUUUUUUGGAGGGCUUCUAUUUUUCAAGUGCCCUGUGUCUUCUUGGGCUUGUUUUUUAUUCUAGACAAAAUGCUUCCACACACUGGGGGCUUUACCUGGCCUGCUCAUGAAGGCAUCAUCUGGGUCCAAACUCCUUAUUGGCUACUUAUCAAAAUGGAUCUUUCUCUGCUCUUCUUUUGCAUUAGAUUCUUGCUAAGAACCUAGAAUUUGCCUGAUAGAUUGACUUACCCUAAAGUUAAAAAGGCUUUUAUUAGCUUAUUUUAUGGCUCUAUAUUGUGUAUUUCCUUUUAAACAGAGGUUCCUUAGAGACUCAAUUCCUUAAUCCAGCAUUUCUUAAGUUUGCUUUUGGGAAGGUUAGUACAAGAAGAUGGUCUCUUUAAAAAUAAUUCUUGAGAAUCACUAUACUGGUUAACAUAUUAAAAGAACCAAGGAGUCCUACAGAUUUUUAAAAAGCCUUUGCUUAUUGAUACUCUUUGGUUUGACUGCCAAUUCUCUUUUUGUGGAUCAUCUGCUAAUAUCUAAUAAAUUUAGCAUGACACAGAACAAAUGUUGAGAAACAGUCAAUAAAAAACUGUCUUUGUGAAAA
ensembl:lncRNA LINC01748 long intergenic non-protein coding RNA 1748